AGUGAACGCUGGCGGUAGGCCUAACACAUGCAAGUCGAACGGCAGCACAGGAGAGCUUGCUCUCUGGGUGGCGAGUGGCGGACGGGUGAGGAAUACAUCGGAAUCUACUUUUUCGUGGGGGAUAACGUAGGGAAACUUACGCUAAUACCGCAUACGACCUACGGGUGAAAGCAGGGGACCUUCGGGCCUUGCGCGAUUGAAUGAGCCGAUGUCGGGUUAGCUAGUUGGCGGGGUAAAGGCCCACCAAGGCGACGGUCCGUAGCUGGUCUGAGAGGAUGGUCAGCCACACUGGAACGUAGACACGGUCCAGGCCCCUACGGGAGGCAGCAGUGGGGAAUAUUGGACAAUGGGCGCAAGCCUGAUCCAGCCAUACCGCGUGGGUGAAGAAGGCCUUCGGGUUGUAAACUCCUGUUGCCCGGGACGAAUAGCUCCGACCUAACACGUCGGAGUAUGACGGUACCGGGUGAGGAAGCCCCGGCUAACUCUGUGCCAGCAGCCGCGGUAACAC
rnacentral:rRNA from 1 species